UACGGGGGGGGGCAAGCGUUGUUCGGAAUUACUGGGCGUAAAGGGCUCGUAGGCGGCCAACUAAGUCAGACGUGAAAUCCCCAGGCUCAACCUGGGAACUGCGUCUGAUACUGGAUGGCUUGAAUCCGGGAGAGGGAUGCAGAAUUCCAGGUGUAGCGGUGAAAUGCGUAGAUAUCUGGAGGAAUACCGGUGGCGAAGGCGGCAUCCUGGACCGGCAUUGACGCUGAGGAGCGAAAGCUAGGGGAGCAAAUGGG
rnacentral:rRNA from 1 species